ACUGGAGAGUUUGAUCCUGGCUCAGAACGAACGCUGGUGGCGUGCUUAACACAUGCAAGUCGAACGAGAAAGUUUCCUUCGGGAAACCAGUAAAGUGGCGCAAGGGUGAGUAUCACGUGAAUAAUCUGCCCUCGAGAUCGGGAUAACAUGGUGAAAACUAUGCUAAUACCGGAUAAGACCACAUUUCAUAAGAAAUGCGGUAAAAGGAGUCUCAAUCUUCACUCGAGGAUGAGUUCGCGCAACAUUAGCUUGUUGGUGAGAUAAAAGCUCACCAAGGCUACGAUGUUUAGCCGGCCUGAGAGGGUGAUCGGCCACACUGGAACUGAGACACGGUCCAGACUCCUACGGGAGGCAGCAGUGGGGAAUAUUGCGCAAUGGGCGAAAGCCUGACGCAGCAACGCCGUGUGAGCGAUGAAGGCUUUAGAGUCGUAAAGCUCUGUCAAAUGGGAAGAAUUUUGACGGUACCAUUAGAGGAAGCCCCGGCUAACUCCGUGCCAGCAGCCGCGGUAAUACGGAGGGGGCAAGCGUUGUUCGGAAUUAUUGGGCGUAAAGAGUAUGUAGGCGGCU
rnacentral:rRNA from 1 species